rnacentral:rRNA from 1 species
CCUACGGGAGGCAGCAGUCGAGAAUAUUCCACAAUGGGCGAAGGCCUGAUCGAGCGACGCGGCGUUGCAGGAUGGAGGUCUUAGGAUUGUCCCUUGCUUUUCUCUGGGAGAAAGCCGCAAGGCUGAUAGUACCAGAGGAAUAAGGAGCUGCUAACCUCGUGCCAGCAGCCGCGGUAA